AACGCACAUUGCGCCUGCUGGUAUUCCGGUAGGCAUGCCUGUUUGAGCGUCAGCAAAACCUCUCAGCAAUGAAUUUUUAUUGUUGGUAUUGGGUCGCGGAGGACUGGCUUUUACUAGCCGCUCCCGCCUUAAACUUGCUGCACGACCGCGAGCUAUUGCUUAGGUUAAUGGAGUGGAUUUACAUUUUAAUUCCAGCAACUGACCGUAGCUCGGAGGCGUUAAACCAGAUGUCGUCUUACCGCGACUGAAGUUUUGACCUCAAAUCAGACAAGGAUACCCGCUGAACUUAA
rnacentral:misc_RNA from 3 species